AUGGAUGCCGUAUGAUAGUGUUACAACUGCAAGCAGAAAUCGCAUCACCAGGGAUCCUUCUGGUAAAAUCACCUGUCUGCCUGUCUGCCGACACCCUCACAUACGUCCCCCCCAACGACUCCCACACCUACAUCAACAGAAUAUCGAUGUGCCUUUUUCAGCAUCCCGCGUGCUGCAACUGCAGUUGCUGCUGCUGCAGUUGCUGCUAAUUCAACUGCCGUUGCUGCCCGAAUCAACGCCUGCUCCACCUGCGCCUAGCCUACCGCAAAACCCUACGUAAAGCCCAAAAGCCCGUUGCUGCUGCUAAAGACAACUAUCUACAAAUUCACGGAGGAGAUGGAAAACAAUCUUCGAUAAGGAUCAACGUCGAACACUCUUUACGUAAGAAAAAAAAAUCAUAUCCCUCGUCCUCAUCCUCGUCCUCCGCCUCAACAACGUACGUGCUGUUGCCUUGCUCACUAAUUUUAGAUUGCCUUGACAAGGCGAAGGCGCAGCAGCUCCAAAUUCACGAUGCAUGGCGAGCGGCUUUUGACGCUCUUAUUGUGAUCUGAUGAUCAAAGCUUGUGAUGGACGAAUGGCAUGUGUGAUCGGUUGCGGAGCGCUUCGCAACCACCUUCUAGCUAAGCUAAGCCAUCCGUAAAAGUGCGAAGCGACCG
rnacentral:lncRNA from 1 species